UUCAUAAGUUCCUGGUCAGUUGACAGCUGGAAAUAAUGAAGAUUGUCUCAUUGAAUUCCUUCGUCAUCUUCGUGUCAAUCAUGGUGUUGGUCAAUCUGAGUAACACACCACUAGCUAGCAGUGGACCAGCAGCCACUGCAGCCUGCAUCUUGACCUGCUGUGGCGGUGCCUGUGUUGCUGCUUCUACUGUGUGUCUUCCCUUGGGAGCUGCGACUGGUCUACCUGGAAUCUUUGCUGCAAUUGGAUGCUUCCUUGCUGCUGGAGGGGGUUGCACUGCCUGUGUUAGUCUUUGCUUGGGUGGUUUCUUUCUCCCAAUACCAUAGGAUCAAACUAAAUCUUUGCUGCUGUUGUUUUGUUGUAAAAGUAGUUAUUGAGAAAAAAUAUAAUUGUGUCAAAUUGUAAUCUAUAAAUUCUUUAACUGAUCCUUUAGAAUUGUGAAAGUGUGUUAAUCAUUGAUCUUAUCAUGUGAAUUAAACUCUGUGCAAGGCUUGAAUCUCACUUGACCAUGGAUUAUGGAUUUAUCUGAAUUCUGUGUUCCAAAUGCAUGAUUGUGGAAUGCUUGGUUUUUUAGGUUAGACCUGUAAUUUGUCUUUUUUGCUGUUGAAGUCAUGUAAUAAAGAGUAACUGGUGGAGGCCACAGGAAUCUCACAGGACAUUCAAUAUAGUUUAUAGGUGUGUUCAUGCUUUGAAAACGAAUUGAUUAAAGUGUUGUCUCACUGAAUCACCCUUACAACUUAGAUUCAUGUUAAACUUUUAAUGCUGUACUUAGAUAUGGUUCCUGCAUAAUGAUGUUAUAGUUCAAAUUAUCUCUAACACUAGCUAGUCUUAAAUCGAAAAAUAAAAUUAAAAUGUGCGUA